UCUUCUUUCAAAGGGGAGUAGCGUUCAGGGUAAUACCUGAAAACAAAGUCGUCAUUUCAUGGAUUUUCUUCCAUCGGCUUUGUUGGCAUGAACGGAUUUGUAAUACAUGCU
rnacentral:sRNA from 2 species